rnacentral:miRNA from 1 species
CUUCAGGGCUCGCUCCAAAGCCCAUCAUGUCCAUGGAGACUUUCAAUUGACUUCAAUGGGCUUUGGAUCAGGCCCUU